CCGGACAGGCGGCCGCGCCCGCCCCCGGGCGGGUGAGGAAAGUCCGGACUCCGCAGGACAGGAUGCUGGGUAACGCCCAGGCGCGGUGACGCGCGGACAGCGCAACAGAGAGCAGACCGCCACGGAUCGCACCUCGGUGCGGUCCGCGGUGAGGGUGAAACGGUGGGGUAAGAGCCCACCAGCACGGCGGGUGACCGCCGUGGCUCGGCAAGCCCCAUCCGGAGCAAGGCCAAGCAGGGACAGGGUGGUCCGCCCGUCACGUCCCAGGUCGGCUGCACGAGGCGUCGGGAGACCGGCGUCCCAGAGAGAUGGUCGCCACCCCUCCCCGGGUGACCGGGCGGGGCACAGGAUCCGGCUUAUCGGCCGGCGU
rnacentral:RNase_P_RNA from 1 species